UUUAAAUCACCUAUUAAUAAAUCCCCAAUUAAGAAGCAAUUGGAGAAAAGCAGCUCAAAAGCUGGUCUAGAAGAGGAAAACAACUAAUGGAGGCGGAGGAGACCGGCGGCGACACCGAAAAGAUCCGCAUCGCCACCCACUGGUAUUGGGCCUUAGCGAGCGUAACCCAGCUCGGAUGGGCAGCAUCUUCGUAUCGAAAAGGUUAUAUCGGUGACCACCGUUUGAUGCCCGUCAAAGCCUUCGGCGUCGCUUCCUUGUUCCUCGGCGCCUCCGCCACUGCUUCCAUCGCUUUCCUUAAAGCCUCCGGCAUUCACAAAGUCGAAGAUCUGAUGGAGGUGGGUGCGAGUAUAAGAAGUGGACUUGGAAUUCGUCCGAGGACAGGGGAUAAAUGAGUCCUUGUUUCCCAAUUCUCUUUUGAAGAGCUUUCCGGGCCAAAAACUCGAGUCAUGCUCCAAAAAGAUUUCAGCAGAGUACAGAAUUUGAUCAAUUCUGAAUAAUCUGCAAACAUCAUGAAAUACUGCAUAAUUUAUGUCUAAUCAACUUGGAACCAAACAGGUCUCUGGCGGUGCAAGCCCAUGGAAGAUGCAGGCCAAAGCCCAUGGAAGAUGCAGGCCGAAGCCCAUGGAAGAUGCAGCCCAUGGACUAGCAGUCGUGAUGAGAGCUCCAAUGUCAGAUAUAAACAGGUUUAACAUCAUUGACACUGAAGCUUGCAACACACACAGGACACUUGCGGUGACGGCUUUCGGUGAUUUUCUGUACACAAGGGUUGCAGAAGAGAUGAUAGCAUUUUGUAAUAACAACCUGGAGAAUGGACAACAUAUCUAUAAGAAAAUUGGGAAAUAGACUGGGAAAUUUGAAAC